rnacentral:misc_RNA from 1 species
GGGAGAAGAGGGGAAAAAAAAAAAAUCUUAAUUGCAGUUAAUUAUUUUAGACUUAACAUUUCUUCUUCAGGUUCAUUCUUUAGUGCAUUUUUGGCUAUGCACUUGAAAGCAGCAUCCACAUUGAAUCCUUCUUUUGCAGAAGUCUCAAAGUAAGGUAUGUUUCCCUUAGAAGCACACCAUGCCUUGGCUUUCUUCUCUGAAACCACCCGACUAUUGCCACCAUCAACAUCUAUCUUGUUCCCCAACACAACAAAUGGGAAGUUUUCAGGGUCAGAAGGACUAGCCUGAAUCAGAAACUCUUCUCUCCAAUUAUUAAGAUUAUCAAAUGAUUUCAUGACAUUCACAUCAUACACAAGAACACAACAGUCGGCGCCACGAUAGAAAGCCACUCCAAGACUUUGAAACCUUUCUUGCCCCGCAGUAUCCCAUAUCUGCAAUGUGAACAACCUAUCCUCAAAUUGAACUUCUUUUGUCAAAAAAUCAGCUCCUAUCGUCGCUUUGUACUGAUUGCUAAACUUUCGAUUCACGUACUGAUUCAUCAACGAGGUCUUCCCAACCCCGCUGUCACCGAGAAUUAUAACCUUUAAGAGCAUACGUCUACGGGAAGCCAUAGGAUCGAAAUUGAAGAAAAAUAAGCCUUUGUGUGCGUGUGUGUGCGUUUUGGUUGAAAUUGAGAACGUUUCUGUU